rnacentral:rRNA from 1 species
GACGAACGCUGGCGGCGUGCUUAACACAUGCAAGUCGAACGGUGAAGCGCCUUCCUUUUUGGUGGGUGUGGAUGAGUGGCGAACGGGUGAGUAACACGUGAGUAACCUGCCCCCUUCUUCUGGAUAACCGCAUGAAAGUGUGGCUAAUACGGGAUAUUCUGGGUCUGUCGCAUGAUGGGUCUGGGAUAGAUAUUGUUUCGGUGGGGGAUGGGCUCGCGGCCUAUCAGCUUGUUGGUGGGGUGAUGGCCUACCAAGGCGGUGACGGGUAGCCGGCCUGAGAGGGUGGACGGUCACACUGGGACUGAGACACGGGCCAGACUCCUACGGGAGGCAGCAGUGGGGAAUAUUGCACAAUGGGCGCAAGCCUGAUGCAGCGACGCCGCGUGAGAGAUGGAGGCCUUCGGGUUGUGAACCUCUUUCGCCAGUGAAGCAGGCCUGCCUCGUUUGUGGGUGGGUUGACGGUAGCUGGAUAAGAAGCGCCGGCUAACUACGUG